rnacentral:rRNA from 1 species
AUUGAACGCUGGCGGCAGGCUUAACACAUGCAAGUCGAGCGGGGUGAUGGUGCUUGCACUAUCACUUAGCGGCGGACGGGUGAGUAAUGCUUAGGAAUCUGCCUAUUAGUGGGGGACAACAUCUCGAAAGGGAUGCUAAUACCGCAUACGUCCUACGGGAGAAAGCAGGGGAUCACUUGUGACCUUGCGCUAAUAGAUGAGCCUAAGUCGGAUUAGCUAGUUGGUGGGGUAAAGGCCUACCAAGGCGACGAUCUGUAGCGGGUCUGCGAGGAUGGUCCGCCACACUGGGACUGAGACACGGCCCAGACUCCUACGGGAGGUAGCAGUGGGGAAUAUUGGACAAUGGGGGGAACCCUUAUCCAGCCAUGCCGCGUGUGUGAAGAAGGCCUUAUGGUUGUAAAGCACUUUAAGCGAGGAGGAGGCUCUUUUGGUUAAUACCCAAGAUGAGUGGACGUUACUCGCAGAAUAAGCACCGGCUAACUCUGUGCCAGCAGCCGCCGUAA